rnacentral:rRNA from 1 species
ACCUGGUUGAUCCUGCCAGAGGCUACCGCUAUUGGAGUCCGAUUAAGACAUGCGAGUCGAGAGCUUUCGGAGCUCGGCAUACUGCUCAGUAACACGUGGGUAACCUGCCCUAUGCUGGGGGAUAACCUCGGGAAACUGAGAACAAUACCCCAUAGUCCACUACGCCUGGAACGGUGAGUGGAUAAAAGCCCCGGCGGCAUAGGAUGGGCCUGCGACGUAUCAGGUUGUAGGGGGUGUAAUGUACCCUCUAGCCUUCGACGCGUACGGGUUGUGAGAGCAAUAGCCCGGAGAUGGAUUCUGAGACAAGAAUCCAGGUCCCACGGGACGCAGCAGUCGCGAAACCUUGACAAUGCGGGAAACCGUGAUCAGGGGACUCCAAGUGCCAGGAGUAAGAUCCUGUGCUUUUCAUCUCUCUUCAAAGGAUUUGGAAUAAGAGGUGGGUAAGGACGGUGCCAGCCGCCGC